UUGAAUUGAAGAGUUUGAUCAUGGCUCAGAUUGAACGCUGGCGGCAGGCUUAACACAUGCAAGUCGAACGGUAGCAGGAGAAAGCUUGCUUUCUUGCUGACGAGUGGCGGACGGGUGAGUAAUGCUU
rnacentral:rRNA from 1 species